rnacentral:rRNA from 1 species
GACGAACGCUGGCGGCGUGCCUAAUACAUGCAAGUCGAGCGAAGUUUUUCUGGUGCUUGCACCGGAACAACUUAGCGGCGAACGGGUGAGUCACACGUAAAGAACCUGCCUCAUAGACAGGGCCAACUAUUGGAAACGAUAGCUAAUACUGGAUAACAGCAUUACCUGCAUGGUUGAUGUUUGAAAGUUGGUUUUGCUAACACCAUGAGAUGGCUUUGCGGUGCAUUAGCUAGUUGGGGGGGUAAAGGUCUACCAAGGCGACGAUGCAUAGCCGACCUGAGUGGGUGAUCGGCCACACUGGGACUGGGACGCGGCCAAGACUCCUGCGGGAGGCAGCAGUAGGGAAUCUUCCGCAGUAGGCGGAAACCUGGCGGAACGACGCCACGUGAGUUAAGGAAGAGUUCGGUUCGUAAAGCUCUGUUGUUAGGGAAGAAUGGUUAUGUAGUGACUAGACGUAGUAGAGACGGUACUUAGCCAGGAAGCCACGGCUAACUACGUG